rnacentral:rRNA from 1 species
GAGUGGCGAACGGGUGAGUAUACAUCGACGUGCCCAGUCGUGGGGGAUAACGUAGCGAAAGUUACGCUAAUACCGCAUACGAUCUACGGAUGAAAGCGGGGAUCGCAAGACUCGCGCGAUUGGAGCGGCCGAUGUCAGAUUAGGUAGUUGGUGGGGUAAGGCUCACCAAGCCAAGAUCUGUACUGGUCUGAGAGGACGACCAGCCACACUGGAACUGAGACACGGUCCAGACUCCUACGGGAGGCAGCAGUGGGGAAUUUUGGACAAUGGGCGCAAGCCUGAUCCAGCCAUUCCGCGUGCAGGAUGAAGGCCUUCGGGUUGUAAACUGCUUCUUGUACGGAACGAAACGGGAGCUCUAAUACAGUUUGCUAAUGACGGUACCGUAAGAAUAAGCACCGGCUAACUACGUGCCAGCAGCCGCGGUAAUACGUAGGGUGCAAGCGUUAAUCGGAAUUACUGGGCCGUAAAGCGUGCGCAGGCGGUUACAUAUAAAGACAGAUGUGACAUCCCCGGGCUCAACCUGGGGAACUGCAUUUGUGACUGUCUGGCUAGAGUACCGGCCAACAGGGGNAUGGAAUAUCCGGGUGUCAAAAGGGAACA